ensembl:lncRNA
AGGGCAUACACAUGACUUACAUGAAACCAGUGUUGGCACCGCACACUACAGUCAACAACUCCAGGAGAAAUAAAUAGAAAACAACAGUGAAUAGGAGAAAUUCGAACAAACAGAAGAUCGGAGUUCUAGAAUCAUUGACACCUAGAAGCUUCUAGAACCAUCCUGAAGAGGAAUGCACCUGUUCAGGUAACCGGGAGUAAGUUUUUAUGACGGUUUUGUUUUCAGGUAAUUGUAUGGAGUGAUUUUCCUGCUGAACGAAGCCUAGACCAGCCAAUCCGGUUGAGCCGGCGACCUUGAAUGACCGCUGAUCUAUAUCCUAUAUUAUGUUAAACGUAAUGUAUAUGUAUAUCCCCACUGAAAAGAACAGCUAAAACCAACCUAAGGUGGUUGGCUGGUCUUAGCUGGUUUAAGCUGGAAGUAACUGGUUUUAGCUGGUCUCCAUCAGCUAAACAAGUCAACAAAACCUCUCUAACACCGGCCUGUUGACCAGCCAUCCACACAAAUUAACCAUGCUACUACAAAUAAAACCAAAAACCAUGGUUACUAUAGUUAAACCAUGAUAAACACAAAUUAACCACGUUACACUAACCGUAUUUUAACCAUGGUAUCUGUAGUAAAACUGUGGCUAUAUAAAUGGUAAACAAUACUCCAAAAAACAUGGCUAAUUAAGGGCAGCUUAGGUAGGGUUGAGCUGUUAUUCAUAAAAAUGAUUUUUUUGCUGGUUUUCACUGUCUGUUAGUUCCCAACAUAUCUACACUGUCAAGCUGGUUUACCAACAACACCCACACUAUUCCAGAUCAGACCAAUACUGACUAUCUAUCAGUUCUUCAGGAAUUCACAUGACUUUUGGGAUUAGAUUCGGACAACCAUAAGUAAACAAAGUGAUGUUAGCAAAGUAUUAAUAUAGUUAAUUAUUAUUAAAGGUGUUCA